rnacentral:ncRNA from 1 species
CCAGCUGAACUUGAGCAUAUCAUUUAGCGGAGGAAAAGAAACUGACAAGGAUUCCCUCAGUAACGGCGAGUGAACGGGGAGAAGCCCAGCGCUGAAUCUCUCGGUGUUACACCGUUGAGAAAUGUAGCGUAUAGGUGUGGCUUUCAGUUUGUGCUGCAUGUCCAAAGUCCCUUUGAUAGGGGCCACAUUCCCGAGAGGGUGCGAGACCUGUGCGGACAGUGGAGCAAGCUGUACGGCCAUAUCUUGGAGUCGGGUUGCUUGAAAGUGCAGCCUAAAGUGGGUGAUAAACUUCAUCUAAGGCUAAAUAUAGACGCUAUCGAUAGCAAGCAAGUACUGUGAAGUAAAGUUGCAAAGAACUUUGAAGAGAGAGUUCAAGAGAACGUGAAAUCGCUGGAGUGGAACCGGAGAGAGUUGACGUAGUCGAGUAACUAAGUUUUCCAAAGUCGCUUAAUUGUGGCAGCGGAAGAUGUAUGUUGCCUAUGGCUGCGCUGACAGCACUGGCUGUGCGUUCCGAACCGCUUGCGUUGCCCACUUCGGUGGUGUCUUGUCUGCGGAUAGGUUUGCCGUGGCUAGUGUUUUAUCCUGCUUGCAGGGUGUCAGUGUGAAAGUCGACCACCUCUCCGACCCGUCUUGAAACGCGG